AUACUGACUGGCAGGGGACAUACCAUGAUCACCAAGGUGGUUUUCCCAGGGCAAGGUUUAGCCAUUGCACCCCAGAUGUGCUGACCCCUGUGAUUUUCCCAAACCUGGAAAACUCGACUGCACAAUUCAUGGUAGUGGGGGACUAUGUCCGAGUUCGUCCUUG
rnacentral:snRNA from 1 species